rnacentral:lncRNA from 1 species
UCUGCUCUGCUCUUUCUAUGGUGUACAUCAUUUACACAAUGAAACUUUACAUUUUAUGUACAUUAUAUUUUAAUGUCCUGGAGGAACAAAACACCUGCUUAUUGCUUAUACAUGUGCUAUUCUCUUCUCUCUGUCCAGGACUCCACACAACCAGACAGAAUCUAACACACAACCCUAAUCUCAUAAAACUAUUUUCUCUCUCUUCUAUAUUUUACUUUAAAUAUAUCUCAGCCGUAGAAAAAAAAAACAGAGAAGCAGAUCGAUUCUAACCCAGGACAUUUACGUGUGGUUGUCAGCGGCGACCAGAUCCCGAUCCUCCCGACAUAAAUAAACACAACCUUUAUAAAAUAUUUAAACUCUGUCCAACAGCAGCAAUAGGGUGGCACCUUAUUGAAGUAUAAACCCAUUGUAUAGUUAGUUCAUUCUAUAUGUUUUAUAUAUGUAUAUAUUAACAACUUCUUUGAACAAUGAGGGAAUGUGCGGUGUAAAAUAUGUGGAAAAUGAAACGUUUAGGGCCUCAGGUUAAAAACUUAAAUGGGAGUAAAACCAGUAAAAAAAGACAAGAGCAUAUGGCGCCCCCGUGUGGUUAAAGGAAAGCACUGCCUUAGUGUGUGUAGAUUUGGUGCUUCGCCCUCUCAAUAGUGUGUGAUUGUGGGAAGACCUCAAAUGCAUACUCCUCCCGUCCUCAGAUCCUUGUCUCCUUCUCAAAACCCAUUAGAUGAGAAAGCCAGAUAUCCUUCCCCUCUGACCUUCUCCUCCAGUGGGAUUUGAGAAGGAGACGAGGAGACAGGACACAAGUAGUAUGCAAUUGAGAUCUUCCCAGUGUGAGACUCCUCUAGUGCUCUUAUUUACAACUGUACAGUCCUCUCCUUUUCACAGCAGUGCUCUGCUCAUAGACACUCAAGACAUCCUCACAGAACAUGUCCAAAAUAACAGACCAUCAUAAUACCUGUAAUAAGCAUUGGAAAUGUAAUAAUAAUCAUCAUCAUCAAUUAUCACUCUGGUAAUACUAUCUUGUCCUCUGAUAUCUCUGUGUGAAUGAAAAAGUUUUGCAUCACAGUUAUUGUGUAGGCCGGCAGUAAGUAAUACGAGCAGGCCUGUGGAUCUACUCUUUCUAUCUGUCUGGCUACAGUCGUUUCUAUACAUACAGAGAGAUACUGGGCAUGCUCUGUGCAGACUGGCUGGUGCCAUCAUGGCUCUGUAGGAUGCCAUCUUGGGUCUCCAGGCUGGCAUCGCUUAUGAGUCACUGCUCACCAAGGUCAAUGUCUGGGCUGCAGGGAUACGUGCAAAGAGAGGGAAGAGGUGAAGAGACAGAUGAGCACACACAAAA